rnacentral:lncRNA from 1 species
AUUCACCUAUACAACAUCCUCAUAUCAAUGAAAGGAUCUGGCAGGAGUACUCAUGAGCAGGGGCAGGUUAAAAGUAAUAAAUGAUAGAAGAGAAGCACACGGGUAUUGAUAGACUGAAUGAUCAGGGGGGCAAAACUAGAAUUAAUAAUUGAGGAAGUCAGAUAACAAUUCAACUUCAGGCAGAAUGUUUAGGAAACAAGGCUUCUGUAACUGGAAUGGGCUACAUGAGCAGACAGUGCAUCCUCCCACAAUUGAAAUGUUCAAUGAAAGGAAAAUCCAAUA